AUUGAACGCUGGCGGAAUGCUUUACACAUGCAAGUCGAGCGGCAGCGCGGUCUUCGGAUGCUGACGAGUGGCGAACGGGUGAGUAAUGCAUCGGAACGUGCCCAGUAGUGGGGGAUAGCCCGGCGAAAGCCGGAUUAAUACCGCAUACGACCUGAGGGUGAAAGGGGGGGAUCGCAAGACCUCUCGCUAUUGGAGCGGCCGAUGUCAGAUUAGCUAGUUGGUGGGGUAAAGGCCUACCAAGGCAACGAUCUGUAGUUGGUCUGAGAGGACGACCAGCCACAGUGGGACGGAGACACGGCGGAGACUCCUACGGGAGGCAGCAGUGGGGAAUUUUGGACAAUGGGCGCAAGCCUGAUCCAGCAAUGCCGCGUGAAGGAAGAAGGCCUUCGGGUUGUAAACUGCUUUUGUCAGGGAAGAAAUCUUCUGGGUUAAUACCUCGGGAGGAUGACGGUACCUGAAGAAUAAGCACCGGCUAACUACGUGCCAGCCGCCGCCGUAACAC
rnacentral:rRNA from 1 species